rnacentral:rRNA from 1 species
GCAAUGCCGCGUGAGUGAUGAAGGCCUUCGGGUCGUAAAGCUCUUUUACCAGGGAUGAUAAUGACAGUACCUGGAGAAUAAGCUCCGGCUAACUCCGUGCCAGCAGCCGCGGUAAUACGGAGGGAGCUAGCGUUGUUCGGAAUUACUGGGCGUAAAGAGUACGUAGGCGGUUAUUCAAGUCAGAGGUGAAAGCCCGGGGCUCAACCCCGGAACUGCCUUUGAAACUAGAUAACUAGAGUCUUGGAGAGGUUAGUGGAAUUCCGAGUGUAGAGGUGAAAUUCGUAGAUAUUCGGAAGAACACCAGUGGCGAAGGCGACUAACUGGACAAGUACUGACGCUGAGGUACGAAAGCGUGGGGAGCAAACAGGAUUAGAUACCCUGGUAGUCCACGCCGUAAACGAUGAUAACUAGUUGUUCGGUCACUUGGUGACUGAGUGACGCAGCUAACGCAUUAAGUUAUCCGCCUGG